CUGAUUGUACAUGCGCACAAAAUUGUGUUUACUGUCUGCAUAAAUUUCGUUUCUAUAAAAAUACGUAUAACAUAUUCUAUUUGCGGUUCGUCUGACAAAGUUUUUUUUAAUAUAGUAUCUUUAUCACAAAAAAUAUAACAGAAAAGUUGAAUUUGUCACUCUGUUGAUUCCAAUGUAUAAAAUGAGAUAAAUUAUUGAUAUGAAAAUUUGCAACUUGUUGCUUAAUUUUCAAAAUUUGUGGUACGGUAAUCGUUAAUAUCAUGCAGCUUCAUUCAGAUGAUAUAUACCUACUUUUACAUGUACCUUGUUAAUUGAGUAAGACUAAGGAUUACCAAAAUAUCGUACCUGCUUUUCGUAUCGAAGACAAAUCUGCAAGGAAAAAUAAUUAAUGAUGGAGGUGUUGAAAUUCAUUAUUUUAACUUGGCUCGCAAGCUUCGUACCUGCAGCAUAUUGCCAAAUGGGAAAUUUUAGCGAAGAAGCGAUUUGUAACAUCACCAUCUUUAACGAACGUGGCAAUCCUCGAACUGUAUUAAAGGUAUUGCAAUUUAAAAUGAUAGACAGGUGUCCCGAAAAUUACACAAAUGAAACUAUCAUUACUAGUUGCGAACAUUUCAACGCUUUGGAAAGUUUAAAUUUAAUAAGAGACUUUUUCCGUCCAGUAACAGACAACAUUACAAACAUUACCUACGUGAAUCAAUAUUGUGCCCAUUGUAAUAACUACGAGUACACUUUUGGUUCUAAUUGGGCCUGGACGUGGGGUACUUGGUCUCCGUAUUCAUAUCUGAGAAACGCAUGCGAAAACUACACUUCCGAAAUGAAGGCAUCGGAGGUCAAUGACCUUGACAAAUGGACGCAGACUUUUAUAAACAAGGGAAUGACACUGAAAUCCUCAACAUAUCUCAAAGUCAAAGAGUUGGAGUGUUCUGGGAAAAAGAACUGGCCAAUAAAGUUAUUAGACUAUGCGAUUCCUUGUUUAGUGGAAAAUUUUGAAUAUGGUCAAGAGGACAGAUUGAAGUCGUGUCAGUAUUUCGAUAAAAAUGACAGAAGUUGCAUGAAAAUGAGGUUCAUUAUCGAACCGUUCUCUAUUUACUAUGGUUCCCAUUUUUACGAGCAUUUAUCACAAAUAAAUCUAACCGGAGGUGAUUAUAUCGUCGAAACCGUAAAUCAAGACAUAUUCUACAUGUGUAGACAAAUUUACCAAGCUGGAUAUUGGGGUAAAAUUUUACGCAUCUUUAUUUCUAUUGCAUUUCUGUGUGCUUAUCUAAUCAUGAAUUAUAAUAAGCGGUAUUUUGAAAUUUUAUCAAACCAACUGUUGUAUGUCUACUCAAUAGGAUUGAUAAUAAUGAGUGUACUGCUUACCUACAUCUAUUUGAAAUUUCCGGUUUCCAAUGUAUCUCUCUAUCUCGUUAAAAUUUUUUGGACUUAUCACUUUCUCUGUACGGUGUUAAAUUUUAUUGUAUUUUGUAAUUUAGCGUUCUGCAAGUGCAUUCAGUGGGAAAAUAUAACCAAAGGGUAUACAAAUACCUGCUAUUUAUCAAUUCUUUUCGUUGUUGGCCUCCUAUUACCCGUAUCUUUUCCCCUAAUGUAUCUCUACUUCUUAAGUACUUAUGAAAAUCAGUGUCCUCUAAUUCCUGGGCAUACGGCUGUGCCAGUCGUAUCUCCUGGAAAUUUAGAGUUUAUGAAAUUCGUCUUAGAUACGAGCUUAUCUUACUUAAUGCCUAUAAUGUUUGUUGUGGGGUUACUUUGCUCACUGAUUGAUAUGUCAUGUGAUCCUGGUGAAGUAAGAUCUUUCAAAAUGGUGUUGAUUAUGGGUAUCCAUUGUAUACUGUAUAAACUUUAUUCAGGGUAUUAUGGGAAUGAAAACACGUAUACUGUUAUUGGUCUAUCCAUAAAUAUGGAUAUGGUGGCACAGUUCAGUAUUGAUAUUCACGGUGUGCUUGUAUUUUUCGUUUUCUUAACUGAGAAUACUAUGGUUAAUGAUAUUUUGAUAAAACAUGGAUACAAACGGGGAAAUACUACCCAACAGAAUUGUAAUGGUGCGACAGAAACAACUGUACAAUUUCAGUCUUAAUGUGAGACUAAAGUCGUGUUUUUCUCAAAUAAUGUUCCAAUUGCCAGUUAUUGAUAAACGUAUUAUUGUUACCCUUACCCAGGUACUACAUUUUAUUCUAAGUAAAAAUAUGUAAUAUGCCAUGAAGGUGAACCUGAAAAAAAUAAAUAUAACUUGUAGGCAGUAGGUACCUAGACCUAACUAAUUUUACAAUGACGAGUGAAAACAUUUUUGGAACUAAUUAAUACCCAAACGGUGUACCUAUCUGAAAAAAAAAAGUUUAAAAAGAUACCUUGAUAUAUUGACAGUUUUUCAAAUAACGAACCAUUUGGGACUGGUGGGGGGGGGGGUGGUCAAUCAUUGAUUAUUUCCAUGUUAUCAAUAAAUAUAAAAAAAAAUUAUUUUUUAUAAUUUUGAAAAUUAGAAAAGAACUACAGAGUGGCCCAAAAGUCGGUAUCUCGAUCUUCACGUUUUAGUUUUUCUUAUUAAAAAAAAAUCAAAAACCAAGCAUCCUAGAAAAAAACUAACAAAAUCAUGUCGAUUCGAAAUUUAAUUCUCUGCAACUUUGUUUACGUGAAAUUUUUUUUGGACGCUUCCUUUCGCCUCCAGAUCAAUUUUUGUGACUUGUUGAUUUUUAUGAAAAAAUUGACAAAAGUUCAUUUCUAAGAGUUUUAGUUUUUCUUUAUAAAAUCAAAAACUAAGCAUCCUAGAAAAAAACUAACGACGUUAUGACGAUUGGAAAUUUAAUUCUCUACAAUUUUCCUCGACUUGAUUUUUUCGUAGGAUGCUUCUUUUCAUCUCCAGAUCUAUUUUAAUGAAAUUUAGCUUGCAAAUUUUUCGAAAAUAUUAGUUUUUUGUAAAAAAAAAUCAAAAACUAAGCAUCUUAGAAAAAACUAACGACAUAAUGUCAAUUGGAAAUUUGAUUCUCUACAACUUUGUCACCAUGAAAUUUCCUGAGGGCAGCAAUUUGUGCGGAAUUUGCUGUUUUAAACAACAACUUGCCAUUGUUAAGAAGGAUGAUUCAAGGCCAAUGAACGACGGUACCUAGCCUGCAUUGAAGCAGGAGGUGCUCAAAUUUUGAGCACCUUUUGUGAUCGUUCAUUUCUUUUUUACCAUUUUUUUUUACAAUUGUUAUAAUUUUUUAAAAAUUUUAGAUUAGGAUUUAAAAUUUUUAACAAAUUGCCAAAUGGAAAUAAAAAAGUAAAAGAAUUGAAUUUUUCAAAAGUUCAUUUCAAAAUUUCCAAUUGCUAGAAUGUUAUUAGUUUUUUUCUAGGAUGCUUAGUUUUUGAUUUUUGUCAAAAAAUUAAGAGUCUAAAAUUUUUUGAGAUGAACUUUUGAAAAAUUUGCCAAGUGUGCUUCACAAAAAUUCAUCUGGAAGCGAAAGAAAGCGUCCAAAAAAAAUUUCAUGAUUACAAAGUUGUAGAGAAUUAAAUUUCCAAUCGACAUAAUGUCAUUAGUUUUUUUUUAGGGUGCUUAUUUUUGGAUUUUUUAUAGAAAAACUAAAACUCUUAGAAAUGAACUUUUGACAGUUUUUUUAAAUAAAAAUCAUCGAGUCACAAAAAUCGAUCUGGAAGCGAAAGGAAGCGUUCAAAAAAAUAUCAUUGCAACAAAGUUGUAGAGAAUUAAAUUUUAAAUCGAUAUGAUGUCGUUAGUUUUUUUCUAGGAUGCUUAGUUUUUGAUUUUUUAAAGAAAUAAAAUAAAAAUGUACGUACCAGUAUUUGUUUUAAGAUACUUUGCGUUUAUAAGGUGACAUUUUUGUACUUAUCUAUGUAUUGAUUUUUGUGUACUUACUUAGGUAUAUUUUUGAUUUACAUAUUUGUAUUUUGUUUUAUUGUUGUUUUCUAUUUUAUUUUUUUACACAAUAUAAUACAUGCAAUUUCUUU